GACGAACGCUGGCGGCGUGCUUAACACAUGCAAGUCGAACGAAGAGCGAUGGAAGCUUGCUUCUAUCAAUCUUAGUGGCGAACGGGUGAGUAACGCGUAAUCAACCUGCCCUUCAGAGGGGGACAACAGUUGGAAACGACUGCUAAUACCGCAUACGAUCCGACCUCGGCAUCGAGGAUGGAUGAAAGGUGGCCUCUAUUUAUAAGCUAUCACUGAAGGAGGGGAUUGCGUCUGAUUAGCUAGUUGGAGGGGUAACGGCCCACCAAGGCAAUGAUCAGUAGCCGGUCUGAGAGGAUGAACGGCCACAUUGGGACUGAGACACGGCCCAGACUCCUACGGGAGGCAGCAGUGGGGAAUCUUCCGCAAUGGACGAAAGUCUGACGGAGCAACGCCGCGUGAGUGAUGACGGCCUUCGGGUUGUAAAGCUCUGUUAAUCGGGACGAAAGGUCUUCUUGCGAAUAGUUAGAAGAAUUGGCGGUACCGGAAGAGAAAGCCACGGCUAACUACGUG
rnacentral:rRNA from 1 species